UGGGAGCUGCAGGAUUCGUUCUGUCUCCUGUGGAAGGAAAACACAGCUCUGCAUCUUCCUGUGCCAGCAAAGGAAUCAGUUCUGGAAUACAGCAAGUGUGACAAUGCCUUUCCUGAGUCAGGAAAGUCAUGGCAUGGAGUUGUUUUUCAUCUGAAGGCCCUCAGACCCUCUGAGCAGCUCCCUGGGGAUUCCGAGUGGACAGAAACAGCCUCUGCCACAGCUUUGUUAGCCAAGCACGGAAUUCAACUUGUUAUUUUCACUUGCCUGUGCUGGCUCACAAGUGACUCAGAAUUUGAUCAAUACUGCUGGUGGCUGUUGGUGCAGCAACUGAUGGGGAGCUGGAGGAGAAUUAUUCUGCUGAAAGCCUCGAGAAAAAUCAGUCAGAGAAGGCUGUGCCGCCAGAGCCCCAUCCCGUCACGCUCAGACAAAAUCCUCAGAAAUCCCACCUUAAAAACCACACUGGAAACACCAGGAGGAAAGUAUCAAGACAAGCAGUCCUUGGGAAUGUAUGGAAUUGACACAGAAGUCAUGGAGCAACUGAGCAGUGACAGGACUGGAAAGUCUCACGUAUUCCAUGACUGCAGGUUACUGGCAGGGAAUUGAAGAUGCACUUGGCAAAGGAAAUGGAUUUUGCCAACAACUGGAAGUUCUCAGUGCCCUCGUGCCAUGGAAGUUCUGCAUCCUGUUCUGCCUGGAAGUGCCAGCCAUGAGGCAGCGCUGGGGUUUUUACUGGAA
rnacentral:lncRNA from 1 species